CACGUAGUUAGCCGUGGCUUUCUGGUUAGGUACCGUCAAGACUUGUUCAGUUACUAACAAAUUUGUUCUUCCCUAACAACAGAGUUUUACGAUCCUAAGACCUUCAUCACUCACGCGGCGUUGCUCCGUCAGGCUUUCGCCCAUUGCGGAAGAUUCCCUACUGCUGCCUCCCGUAGGAGUCUGGACCGUGUCCCAGUUCCAGUGUGGCCGAUCACCCUCUCAGGUCGGCUACGUAUCGUUGCCUUGGUAAGCCGUUACCUUACCAACUAGCUAAUACGGCGCGGGUCCAUCUAUAAGUGACAGCCGAAACCGUCUUUCAACAUUGAACCAUGCGGUUCAAUAUAUUAUCCGGUAUUAGCCCCGGUUUCCCGGAGUUAUCCCAGUCUUAUAGGUAGGUUACCCACGUGUUACUCACCCGUCCGCCGCUAACAUCAGAGAAGCAAGCUUCUCAUCUGUUCGCUCGACUUGCAUGUAUUAGGCACGCCGCCAGCGUUCAUCCUGAGCCAGGAUCAAACUCU
rnacentral:rRNA from 1 species